rnacentral:sRNA from 1 species
GUCAGCUCAGAACUGGUA